UUCAUCCACUCAUUCACCCACCCACUCAACAUUUAUAUAUGAUCCCUGAGACUAAAUAAUAAUGUAGGGUAAUGCAUGCUUCUCCAAUUUCUCUCCCUUUUGGGUUGUCUUUAUUCUUGAUCCAGUCUCUUUACAAGCAAUUUCAGUUUCUUUUCGUAAAAGUUGCACUUAGCUUAGCUGAUAAAGAAUCCAAAUGCUAUUUCUCUUGCAAGUAUUUGGAUCUUGUCCUCAACAAGGAGUGGGAGAGUCAACAAUUAUGGAAAUGGAUAGAUCAUGAUAAGAGAAAGAAAAAGACAAAAAAAAAAAAAAAGAAAAAAGGAGAAAUAAACAACAAAAGAAAUUGAAAUUGAAAUUAGAGGUGAAAGCUCAUUGGACGGGAAGGAGAGGUAGAAGAACCUUACCAAACCCAUUAAAAAGAGGAUUAUGGGAAAAAAAGUAUUGGUCUGGUCUUCCAAGUUCCAACGAGUACGAAGGAAACUAUUACUUUAAAAAAAAAAAUUAGAGCUUUUUGGUGUACUUUUUAACUAGUAUGUUGUUUUAUUUAUUUAAUAAUGAAAAAGCAUAAGCAUUAUGUACAGCCAAUGGAAUGAUGGUCGAUCAAUUGCUAUGGCCUAUAUCCUUUGUUCCCAUAUCUUUUUUGGUGACUAGGGUUACCCUUACCCAUCCUUUUUUGUUUACUUUAGAUGGGUUUGCCGAUAUAUAUUCUCAUAGGAAUCUGAUAAUGACAGCCAAAACCAUAUAGGAAAACCAUCCAUUUGAUGUAGCUUUAUAUGCAUUACUGAACUUUUAAAAGGUUUGAUAGCUUUAGAUCAUUACUUUGAAAAAGAAGCUAGUACUUGGGGAGGGGCAGUGCAGUAUCUGAAGAAACACGGUGAGAUAAUCAAGAGAUUUGUUUUGGAAACGUAUGAAGUGUGGGUAGUGACUUGGUCAUUAAGCAAUUAUUUGAAUGAGAAAAGGAAAGAAAACUGCAAAAUUUAUUGACGUAAGGAAUCUCAAGCUGUUAACAUAAAGAAAAGAACAUGAAUACACAGGUAAUGAAAUGCCAUUUUGGCAAGCUUUGAUUUUUGAUUUUCAUUGUUUCAGGUCCCCAGUACACACACACUAUCCGCUCUGUGCUGUGGAGGUUUUUAACCAUCUUAUUUCUCACUGUCAACCAAUUGUAUGAUAAACCCACUUUUGCUCUUCAUUCACUACAAAAACUCGUAUAUAUUCAGACCCAAAACACUACAUUACAGCAUUCUAUCCUGCAGGUCCGACAUAAAAGUGGAUGCAAAUGAGCUAAGUUUCUUUCCAGUCU